GCUGAAAUAUUGUAGGGGACAUGCUAGACUUCAUAUCACUUCAAUUCAGCAUAUUUUAAAGGACAUCUUUAACAAUGUACAUACCUUUUUGCAAUCUACAAUAUCAUUAUCAUACCUAAGAAAAAUUAAAAAUUCCUGAUACAAAGUUGUAUUUUGUAUUAUCUGAUACAAAGUUGUAUUUCAAAUUUUUUUAAUUUUCUCAAAAAAUCCUUGGAGGUCCCAUCGUGGCACAGUGGAAGCGAAUCCAACUAGUAUCCAUGAGAAUGUGGGUUCAACCUCUGGCCUAGCUCAGUAUGUCAGGGAACCAGCGAUGCCGUGAGCUGUGGCGUAGGUCUCAGACAUGAGACCCGUUGCUGUGGCUGUUGCUGUGGCAUAGGCCAGUAGCUGUAGCUCCCAUUCGACCCAUGGCCUGGGAACUUCCAUAUGCCACAAGUGCGGCUCUAAAAAGCAAAGAAAAAAAAAAUUCCUUCUUCACAUAUGAGUUAUUAGAAUCAGGAUCUAAACAUCGUCCACAGAUUAUUUUUGGUGAUGUCUCCUAAAUACUCAUCUGAAGCAGUCUCCUUCCUUGUCUUCUAAAUUUUUCACCCCAUUGACUUGAAAAAAAAAAAAACUGGGUUAAUUGUCCUAUAGAAUGUCUUAUAUUUUAGCUAUCUCACUUUGAUUCCUUCGUAGGGUCUCAUUUAACCAGGAAAUUUUCUGUAAAUUGGAAUUUAGCUUGAAAGAUUUAAAUAAAUUCAGGUGUAAUGUCCUUCCCUAUCUCCUUCCACCAAGAACACUUAAGUGAUGCAACACACAGCAUCACAGAGGUGGCACCUAAUAUCUAAAGGUGGCACCUAAUAUCUAAUUGUCUUCUCCUUAGUGAAACUCAAAGAGCUGUGGGUUCACAUGGCAACAGACUGACUCUUCCAUUAUAAAAUAUCAGUUGCCUCAUUGCCUUUUACCUAAUAGUUUCAUUCCUUGAUGAUCUUUGUCUGAAUUAGUUUUUUAAGGAACAUAAAAUGGUUAUUUUCUAACUCUUUCAUUUCUUCCAUAUUUGUCUGUUGGAAUUUCUCUUUAUGAAAAACUUUCCCUUAUCAAGUAAGGCUCUUUGUUUACCCUAAUAUAUAGUGCACAUAGAUAAAUCAGAAUUAUUCUUAAUUGUUUUCUUUUAAUGACAAUAGAUGAUGGUCCAGGGCCUAGUUUAAGUAUGUAUGUGUUUUUGCAACUUCACUGAGAUAUUUUACAUACCAUACACUCACGCAUUUAAAGUAUACACUCAUCUCUAAGUAUUUUCUUUCUAAGAUUUCACUUGUGAUUUCUUCUUUGAUCUAGGCAGUGUUUAUUUUGACAUACUGCGAAUUUCUCAAAUUUUCAUGAUGUUGCUUUCUCACUUAAUUACUUUGUGGUCAAAGAACAUACUUUGUAUAAAUUUAAUACCUGUCAAUUCACUGAGUCUCAUUUCAUGACCUAGCAUAUUCUCUAUCCUGGAGAACGUUCUUAAUGUGAUUGAGAAGAAUGUGCAUUCUGCUGCUGUUUAGUUUGUUCCACAGGUAGAUGUCAUAAAGUCUAGUUGGCUUUUAGUCUUCCAUAAGUUUUCUAUUUCCUUGUUGAUCUUCUGUUUAGUUGUUUUACUCAUUAUGGAAAGUAAGGAAUUGAAAGCUCCAGCUAUUACUAUUGAAUUUUCUAUUUCUCCCUUUAAAUCUGUCAUUUUCUUUGCUUCAUGUGGUUUGGGGCGCUGUAAGUGCACAAAUAUGUCUUAUAGGUGUUUGGCAGGUGUUCUUAGCAAUAUCUUAUUAGACAUUAGCUUGUUUACUAACGUAAAAGCAAUGACUCUGAAUUUCCUAUCAAAUUCUCUUAGUAUUUCUGGUUGACUUUGACCACCUUCUUCCUAAUUCAUAAAAAUUAGUGAGGUUUUUGUCAUACAUCUAAAGUUUUUUUAUACGUAGAUAAAAUAAAUUUCAUUAGCAAAUGUGUGAAAUAAGCUUGUUUCUGAAAAUACAAUAUUAAUACCAAUUUUUUCUUAAUAAAAUAAUCAAACUAACAUGUAAAUAGACUAACAUGUAAGUACAAAAUAUCAUCAUGAUAUAAAUGUUUUAAGUAUUCUUUAAAAUAAUCAAACUAACACUUAAAUACAAAAUACCACCAUGAUAGAAAUGUUUUAAGGAUGAGGCCAUGGAAAGAAUAGUUAAAGGUUAUCAACUAUAAGCAUUAAUCUUGAUAAAAUCAUGGAAAAAUUAAACGUAGCCAACAAGUGAUCACAAAAUGAAGGAAGGACCACAUUUAAAAAGAGUUCAUGUCUGAUAACUGAUGUGCACGCAUGGCUCUAAGACUUUGCAAGUAUUUUAUAUUAAAACAUUGGAAUUAUGGAGAAUGGGAGAAAGGAGGUAGAAAACCCAAGCCCUUUGCAAAUGGAGAUUCUAUGAUCCCUUAUUAAAGUAAUGAAAGUGUAUAUGGGAUAAAAAUUUAAUAAGGAGAUAUAAAUAGAGGAUAAAAAAGGCUGAAGAUAAAACUAUAGCUUCUCAGGGUCAUUUGUUAAACUCUGUCAUCUAUAACCCAUAUCCACAGCUGUGAAGAAAAGGCAGGAGACAAGCCUUGAGCUUCUACAAAGUGAAGAAUUGGAGUUAUUAUCUCCAUAUAAUGUUCCAUAUAUUAUCUCCAUGAGUUCAACUUCAGUGAAGUAACAGACUAGACAAAAAUCUGUCUGUGGGGAAAAGAUACAUGUCUGAUGUAAGGCAGGAAAAAAAGAAAAGAAAAGGAAAAAUGGGGUAGGAAAAAACUCUUUAUUGAGAAUUUAUAACCACAGUUCUUCUUUCAUGGAAUUAGGAUUUAAAUUUAUAUUAACUAUAUUGUUCCAAAUACUCCAGACUCAGAAAUUAAUUUAUAGUUUUUUUAUGAAAGGAAUGUCCCAGAAAACUGGAGAGAAGCCAGAGCAAAUCUUCUCUAAGAGAUUUAUAGACUCAUAUCCAAAAAAGGAAAUAGGCAGCCAUGAGUGAAAGCAGAAUAACAAACUGAAGGUUUUGACUCCUGAGAACUUUGAAUUUUAAAAAUAUAUGAGGUAUAAUGAAAAUUAAUCAAAGUUUAAAAUAAAGAUGGGAUCAAAAUGAUGAACAAGUAAUAAAAUACUAUUAAAAUAUCAAGUGAGAUGGAAAAGAUCUGAAAAGAUUGCUAGAGAUGAGAAAUAUAAAAUCCAAAUUAUAUACUUCAAUAUUUUUUAAAUAGCAAAACAGAUAAUUCUAGAAUCCCAAAUAAGACAAAAAAUUUAAUUUUUAAGAAAUUAAAAAACCAGAGUUCCUGUUGUGGCUCAGUGGUUAACAAAUCUGACUAGGAACCAUGAGG
rnacentral:lncRNA from 1 species